rnacentral:rRNA from 1 species
UGGGGAAUAUUGCACAAUGGGGGAAACCCUGAUGCAGCGACGCAGCGUGCGGGAUGACGGCCUUCGGGUUGUAAACCGCUUUCAGCAGGGAAGAAGCCUUCGGGUGACGGUACCUGCAGAAGAAGUACCGGCUAACUACGUGCCAGCAGCCGCGGUAAUACGUAGGGUACGAGCGUUGUCCGGAAUUAUUGGGCGUAAAGAGCUCGUAGGUGGUUGGUCACGUCUGCUGUGGAAACGCAACGCUUAACGUUGCGCGUGCAGUGGGUACGGGCUGACUAGAGUGCAGUAGGGGAGUCUGGAAUUCCUGGUGUAGCGGUGAAAUGCGCAGAUAUCAGGAGGAACACCGGUGGCGAAGGCGGGACUCUGGGCUGUAACUGACACUGAGGAGCGAAAGCAUGGGGAGCGAACAGGAUUAGAUACCCUGGUAGUCCAUGCCGUAAACGUUGGGCACUAGGUGUGGGGGCAUUCCACGUUCUCCGCGCCGUAGCUAACGCAUUAAGUG